GACGUAGGGGACGAGCGUUGUCCGGAUUCAUUGGGCGUAAAGCGCGCGUAGUCGGUUUGGUAAGUCGGAUGUGAAAUUCCCGGGCUUAACCUGGGAACUGCAUUCGAGACUGCAUGACUGGAGUAUGGGAGAGGGCAGUGGAAUUUCCGGUGUAGCGGUGAAAUGCGUAGAUAUCGGAAGGAACAUCAGUGGCGAAAGCGGCUUCCUGGACCAGCACCGACGUCAGGCACGAAAGCGUGGGGAGCAAACAGG
rnacentral:rRNA from 1 species